rnacentral:rRNA from 1 species
GACGAACGCUGGCGGCGUGCUUAACACAUGCAAGUCGAACGGAAAGGCCCUGCUUGCAGGGUUCUCGAGUGGCGAACGGGUGAGUAACACGUGGGUGAUCUGCCCUGCACUUCGGGAUAAGCCUGGGAAACUGGGUCUAAUACCGGAUAGGAGCCAUUUUUAGUGUGAUGGUUGGAAAGUUUUUUCGGUGUAGGAUGAGCUCGCGGCCUAUCAGCUUGUUGGUGGGGUAAUGGCCUACCAAGGCGGCGACGGGUAGCCGGCCUGAGAGGGUGGACGGCCACAUUGGGACUGAGAUACGGCCCAGACUCCUACGGGAGGCAGCAGUGGGGAAUAUUGCACAAUGGGCGCAAGCCUGAUGCAGCGACGCCGCGGGGGGGAUGACGGCCUUCGGGUUGGAAACUCCUUUCGCUAGGGACGAAGCUUUUUGUGACGGUACCUAGAUAAGAAGCACCGGCUAACUACGUG